rnacentral:rRNA from 1 species
GACGUAGGGCGCGAGCGUUGUCCGGAAUUAUUGGGCGUAAAGAGCUCGUAGGCGGCUUGUUGCGUCGACUGUGAAAACCCGCGGCUCAACCGUGUGGCUUGCAGUCGAUACGGGCAGGCUAGAGUUCGGUAGGGGAGACUGGAAUUCCUGGUGUAGCAGUGAAAUGCGUAGAGAUCAUGAGGAAGACCAGUGGCGAAGGCGGGUCUCUGGACAGUUCCUGACACUGAGACACGAAGGCCAGGGGAGCAAACGGG